rnacentral:rRNA from 1 species
AGCGAACGCUGGCGGCAGGCCUAACACAUGCAAGUUCGAACGGACCCUUCGGGGUUAGUGGCGGACGGGUGAGUAACACGUGGGAACGUGCCUUUAGGUUCGGAAUAGCUCCUGGAAACGGGUGGUAAUGCCGAAUGUGCCCUUCGGGGGAAAGAUUUAUCGCCUUUAGAGCGGCCCGCGUCUGAUUAGCUAGUUGGUGAGGUAAUGGCUCACCAAGGCGACGAUCAGUAGCUGGUCUGAGAGGAUGACCAGCCACAUUGGGACUGAGACACGGCCCAAACUCCUACGGGAGGCAGCAGUGGGGAAUCUUGCGCAAUGGGCGAAAGCCUGACGCAGCCAUGCCGCGUGAAUGAUGAAGGUCUUAGGAUUGUAAAAUUCUUUCACCGGGGACGAUAAUGACGGUACCCGGAGAAGAAGCCCCGGCUAACUUC